UCGCUUUCACAGCUUCACCAGAGGGUCUCU
rnacentral:piRNA from 1 species